GACGAACGCUAGCUACAGGCUUAACACAUGCAAGUCGAGGGACCGGCGCACGGGUGAGUAACCCGUAACCAACCUGCCCUUUACUCGGGGCUAGCCUUUCGCAUGAAAGAUUAAUACCCGAUAUAAAGGAUGGGGAUGCGUUCGAUUAGGUUUUUGGUGAGGUAACGGCUCACCAAGACUUCGAUGGAUAGGGGUUCUGAGAGGAAUGUCCCCCGCAUUGGAACUUGGACACGGUCCAACAUCCUACGGGAUGCAGCAGUGAGGAAUAUUGGGCAAUGAGCGCUAGCCUGAACCGGCCAAGUAGCGUGAAGGAUGAAGGGAUAUGGAUCGUAAGCUUCAUUUAUAUAAGAAGAGGUAUUAGAUGAAUAAGGAUCGGCUAACUACGUGCCAGCAGCCGCGGUAAUUC
rnacentral:rRNA from 1 species